GCCGGUGUGGCAAAGUGAUGGUUUGAGUGCUGGACUACAACUCUGGAGACCAGGGUUCGAUUCCCUGCUCAACCA